rnacentral:rRNA from 1 species
AUAAUAUUAACGGCGUAAAGCACGACUAAAAAUAAGUUAAAACAUUAGGAACGAAGCCAAACCGGGCCGUAAAAAGUCAUAGGCCACACUAACCACACCCUAACAACAAACAACUUCAACUCGUGAAAGUUAGGAUACAAACUAAGAUUAGAUACCUUACUAUGCCUAGCCGUAACACAACAAUCAAACUACCAAUUGUUCGCCAAAUAACUACGAGUAAAAACUUAAAAUUUAAAAGACUUGACGGUGCCUCAAAACAGCCUAGAGGAGCCUGUCUAAUAACUGAUACCCCACGCUUAACCCAACCUACCCUGGCCAAACAGUCUAUAUACCGCCGUCGCCAGCCCACCUUAUGAAAGAAACAAAGUGAGCUAAAUAGUAACGCACUAACACGACAGGUCGAGGUGUAACUUAUGGAGAGGACCAAGAUGGGCUACAUUUUCUAAACUAGAAAACACGGAUUAACCCAUGAAAAAGAAACUGAAGGAGGAUUUAGAAGUAUGCCGGGAACAACUAACCCCGCAGAAAUCAACGCAAUGAGGCGCGUACACACCGCCCGUCAUCCCUGUCAACCAACUACAAAACAUAUAUAAA